UCAAGGCGGGCGGUAGAUUCAGACUGCCUGUGUAUUGGAGUCAACUCUUGGUUGACCGGCGUUGUCUCGGGCGACAACUCAUCCUUUAUUGCUUCCUUGGACGGUGGAGUAUGCGAUGGAGAUCCUGGGAGUCACUCGGUGGCUCCUGAGUCUCACUGGGCUGAUAGUCUCCAAAGGAGAGAAAGUUGAAUACUGAAUACUUGUCCCUCUUCACCGUGUUUAGGCCCACAAUAUCGGACCUGAUGAAGAAAGAUGAGAAUUCAAAUGAAAAUAGAGCUCGCAGGGAAUAAAAUGCAUAAACGCUUUGCUUAACUCAAAA